GGGAACGGGGGUUGCGCAUUACCGCCAACGACAGUGGCGGUCUGUUCUCCCGGGAAUGGAUUGCCCUGAGUGCUAUAUCUGGCGUUCUGA
rnacentral:tRNA from 2 species